GUGGGGAAUCUUCCGCAAUGGACGAAAGUCUGACGGAGCAACGCCGCGUGAGUGAAGAAGGUUUUCGGAUCGUAAAGCUCUUUCGUUAGGGACGAACGUGCUCUUUGUGAAUAAUGAGGAAUAAUGACGGUACCUAAAUAAGAAGCCACGGCUAACUACGUGCCAGCAGCCGCGGUAAUACGUAGGUGGCAAGCGUUGUCCGGAAUUAUUGGGCGUAAAGCGCGCGCAGGCGGGAUAUCAAGUCUGUCUUAAAAGUGCGAGGCUCAACCUCGUGAGGGGACAGAAACUGGUAUUCUUGAGUGUCGGAGAGGAAAGUGGAAUUCCAAGUGUAGCGGUGAAAUGCGUAGAGAUUUGGAAGAACACCAGUGGCGAAGGCGACUUUCUGGACGAUGUCUGACGCUGAGGCGCGAAAGCUAGGGGAGCGAACGGGAUUAGAAACCCCUGUAGUCC
rnacentral:rRNA from 1 species